AUUUUCUUCUCCUUUCCCCUUUCUUCUUUUCCAUCACGCGACCCCCAACCUCUCGUUUCUGCUUCUCUUCACGCCGCCAACACCCACACAGCCGCUGCCACCAUCCGACGAGCGGAGGCACCGUCGAGUUUGCCAGAUCUGAAAUCGUUCACCGGCGUCGCUUCCCUCAGACGUCGCCCAGCCCUCAUCCGCCAGUCGCGACCAUCUGCUCCAGCCCAGCCGCACGUCAAAUCUAAAGGCCCAAUCGCGAGCGUCCCUCGCGCCACAGCACUCGCAGCCUCUAGUCGUACGUCCGCUUAGAUCUGAAGCAUGGUUGUUCGCGUCCGCCAUUCGCGAGCCUGCCAAAUGCCGCCCGAAGCCACUGCAUCACUUUCUUCUUUACGUCCUCCGUCCAGCCACUACUUAAGCAUCGUUCACUCUUGCCAUCACCGAAUCUAUUGAUUUGGUUUUGGAGAAGCUUUGAAGUUAAAAGUGUGCUGUCAAGAAGAUUUGGAAGUGGUUUCAACAUGCUUUUGGUUGUGAUAUAAAAGGUUGGAAUUGAAGGUUCAAAGCAGCUGUCCAUCGAGAUUAAAGGUUGGAUUUGUGACUAGAGUUGUUGGGAUGUAUUGAUUUUAUAGCAUGAGGUGAUGUUCGGAUCAACACACUUGGGUAAGAUUAUUAGGAAUUAUUUGGUUAAUUUGAUUAUUGGAACUAAGCUCUUAUUAUUAAUUGUAAAUUUGGAUUAUGUUUAGGUCUGAUUCAAGAUUUAUCUAAGCUAGGAGGAAGAUUAAUUUGCUUGUCACUUAGACAUAAUUUUAAGUAAGUAAUCUUACUACUGGAAUUGCCCACGGGCCAGACACUAGAUAUAUGCUAGCAUAUUAAAUUAAUAUCAGAACAGAACGAUAGCAUGAUAAACGGAUAGUAUAGUAUGACCGAUAUAUGUUCUAGUAUGAGAAUCUGAAAGAUUUAUUUGUGCAUGUAGACACUUGCAUGCUAGUAAGAGAUGAUACUUGAUUCACUGAGGUUGUAUUUGAUAUGAGGAUAUUGAGGCGUAUAUGCAUGUUAUAUAGCCAUGAUGUUGAGGUGUA